GAUGAACGCUGGCGGCGUGCCUAAUACAUGCAAGUCGAGCGAACAGACGAGGAGCUUGCUCCUCUGACGUUAGCGGCGGGCGGGUGAGUAACACGUGGAUAACCUACCUAUAAGACUGGGAUAACUUCGGGAAACCGGAGCUAAUACCGGAUAAUAUAUUGAACCGCAUGGUUCAAUAGUGAAAGACGGUUUUGCUGUCACUUAUAGAUGGAUCCGCGCCGCAUUAGCUAGUUGGUAAGGUAACGGCUUACCAAGGCAACGAUGCGUAGCCGACCUGAGAGGGGGUUAGGCACCCUGGGAAAUGAGACCGGGUCCAGCGUCUACCGGGGGGAACCAGGAGGGAAUCUUCCGCAAGGGCGGAAAGCCUGACGGAGCAACGCCGGGGGAGUUAGAAAGGUUUUCGGAUCGUAAAACCUUUUUAUUAGGAAAAAAAAAAUGGGUAAGUAACCUUCCCCGUCUUGCGGGUCCCUAAUCAAAAAGCCACGGCAAACUCCGU
rnacentral:rRNA from 1 species